ACCAGAGCCAUAUCAUUCUCACCUGGUGUCCUACUGAAGCUAAGUAGGGUCAAACCUGGCCAGUACAUGGAUGGGAGACCUACUUGGGAAAACUAAGGUUGCUGCUGGAA
rnacentral:rRNA from 1 species